AUAUAUUAAAUAAAGAUAGAAAAAUAGAAGAAUAAAAACACAAAAAUAAAAACACAAAAAUAAAAACGAAAAGAUAAAAGCAGAAAGAUACUCCCCUUGCUUGAUAUUCUUUUCUUUUUCUUCUUGCUGAAUUUUUUCAAAAAGUUGAGAACACCAAGCACCUGUUUCCAUGUCUCAAUCAUAGGAACUUUAAUCUCCAAUUUCUUGAAGAUUUCAAUAAAGCACUUAAACUUCUUUUCUUUCCUAUGAUAUUUCUUUUGAUGAGGAAAGGGUUUGGCAUAUGAUCUUUUCUUCUUUCCUCUCUUCCUCUUUUUCUCACUCUCCUCCCUCAACUUUCUCUUUUUCUCUUUUAUUAUUUUCUUCUUUAUUUUCACAUAUUUUUUCUUUUUUUCUUUUUUCUCAACCACUUCGUUUUCUCUCUCUUCAUUUUUCUCUCCCUCACUCAACUUUUCUGUUUCUUCCUCCUCUAUCUUCUCCUCAUCAACAACCUUAUCAAUUUGUGUCUCUAAAUUUCUAAAGGUAACUUCAUAGCUCUUGGAAUCGUA
rnacentral:lncRNA from 1 species